GUCGAGAAUCUUUCACAAUGGGGGCAACCCUGAUGGAGCGACGCCGCGUGGAGGAUAAGGUCUUCGGAUUGUAAACUCCUGUCAUGCGUGAACAAGGUUGCUUGGUUAAUACCUGGGCAAAUUGAUGGUAACGCAAGAGGAAGAGAAGGCUAACUCUGUGCCAGCAGCCGCGGUAAUACAGAGGUCUCAAGCGUUGUUCGGAAUCACUGGGCGUAAAGGGUGCGUAGGUGGCGUGGUAAGUCAGAUGUGAAAGCCCGGGGCUCAACCUCGGAACUGCAUCCGAUACUGCCAUGCUAGAGUACUGGAGAGGUGACUAGAAUUCUCGGUGUAGCAGUGAAAUGCGUAGAUAUCGAGAGGAAUACCAAAGGCGUAGGCAGGUCACUGGACAGUUACUGACACUGAGGCACGAAGGCCAGGGGAGCGAACGGGAUUAGAUACCCCGGUAGUCC
rnacentral:rRNA from 1 species